CUAAGAGGAGCUGCUUUUAUUUUUUCCGUGUCUGGUAUUGUAGGUCAGAAUUUGAAUAGCACUGAACUGCAAUACCAGAUACAGCCCAAGAACAAGAGUGGCGCUGUUUCUGAAAGAAAACGUAUUUUUCUAGUCUCAUGCAACUAGACAUUAACUUAAAGGGGUUGUACGGUUUCCUAUAUUGAAGACCUAUUCUCUGAUAUCUGAUAUCCUGAGGAUUGGUCAUUAGCAAAGUAAACCGGACAACCCCUUUAAAUCACCCCAGCCUAUCAUUUUCUUUAAUGGUGCCUUUCACACCUUAGG